AAAAUAUUUGUUUGUUCAUUUUUUUAAUGUUAUGUUUUGAUCAAUGGCAUCAAAAACUAUCGGGUUUUAGUUUUUGGAAUUAGUUUGAUAACAUUUUGUUGACCGAUGAUACCAACAACGGUUGUGUUUGGUAUUUAAAACUUAUUUUGAAAGCAUGUUUAAUAAAAACUUUGAAUAUCUGAUAUGGUUAUAUAGUAUACAGUUUUUUUUAAUAUUUAAAUGUAUCAAAGCGGAUAUCUGCAAAUAUCACAAAAAAUUCUGGAUAUUCGAAAUUCCGGAUAUCCGGAAAUUUUCGAAGCAAAGCAAAUCACAAAAUCAAGUAUUCGUUUAAAACAAAUCGAAUAACAAAUAUCACAAUUUUUCCGGAUAUCCGCUUCGUGCCCAGACCUAAUAUGAAUGACUGGUCCAUGCAUUAUCGAAUUACA
rnacentral:sRNA from 1 species